CAGAAGUCAGUUUGGGCACCUUCAGGCCUUUGCUUCAGCCUGCUGUUUCCUAUUUGGUCUCUUCCCCGACCCUCUGGGAAGAACAGAAAAGAUAAGAGAGAGGAAGAAGGGCUCCUUCUGCAGCAGGUCAGGCCCCGACUCUCAUGGGCCCUCCCUCAUCCUCUUCUCCCUCUUUGCUUUUCCUGCAGAAAAUUCUAGGGAGCUCUAGAAGGGAUCUCCAGCAAAUGCCAGGGACUUGUCACCCUGCAAUUGUUGCUCCGUGCCUUUGCCUGUUUCUAUCCCUCACUUGACUGUGAGCUUCCUGGUCAUGUCGCGGGGCCCAUGCCUGCGACAGACAGACAUGUAUGCCCAGUGCCUGGCAAACGUCACAAGCACCUCUUCGGCAAAGCCCACCUCCCUCUCUCGCUUGAUUCCCCGGCCAUCCUUAUCAAAGACCUUCCAGGUGAACAGGCAGCCGUCCUCAGCCGUGGUCAGCAGGAAUUGAUCAUCAAAGAGGCAGAGGGUACCUCAUGGCACGAAUGGUUCCCACCGAUGUCCCCACAAACAUCAUGCGUCCGGAAUGCGAGAUGGCAAUGGCUGUGUAGAUGACGUCGAACGCUGGUAUCUCUCGAAGGAUCUGGGACACAGAUUCCAUUCAUACACAGCACCAUCUGUGCCACCAGAAAUCAGCUUGCUAUCAUCUGCAUUCCAGACAACUGAGCGAAUCUGCAGGAGAUAAAGAUACGCACUGAAGAGGG